rnacentral:tRNA from 1 species
CAAGAUGUAGCUUAAACAUAAAGCAUUCAGCUUACACCUGAAAAAUGUCUGCUAACACCAGAUCAUCUUGA